GGGCUGGAGGAGGAAAAUCCAUGUCUAAGCAGAACAGCUGUGUACGAGGAGGUCCCUCCUUAAGCACAGUUUGCCUAAACAGCUCUGAACCGGGAUGGUGCCCUAAAAGGGCGUUUCCGGAGUUUAGGGUGAGAACUUACCACUGUGCCUGCUAGUGGGGGCCUUGAGCCUGUUACAUGAAGAGGAGAAUCAUUUGGGAGCCUGCAGCAGUGAUUCUGUUCUUUCAGAGCGUCUGUGGAUUCCCUCUGCUUUUCUGCCUGCCUUGCCAUUGUCAACAAAUGGACCUGAUUACACUUGUACGGUUCAACUCUAGUUGAAAAGAAAAUAAGCCUCUGAACAAAUAAGCAUUUGUUCCUCCAGGUAGCCUGUGAUGCCACUGCAGUGGUGGAUGUUCCCUGAACACGCUGUGCAUUUUCUCACCUCAGGGUCUUCAGUCAAGCUGCUGCAUCUAUGUGGAAUUCCCUGUCUGUCUCCACCAACUGCCAAAUGCUUGCUGAUCUUUCAAGAUGGAAGUGAAAGGACACUACCUCUCCUAAGC
rnacentral:lncRNA from 10 species